GCAAUAUGUCAACAGAGAAAAGAAAGGGAGGUUUUGAAAAGGAGCAAACGGUUACUAAUGAGAAAGGGGUUUGAAGAUACUUCCCACUGGAAGGGGCCUUGAUUCCAGCUUUAAGAAGAACUGCUUCUGAGGGAUAAUCCUUGAAUUGGCAACAUGUUCCUGUAAUUCUCAGUCAGUGACAUUUAAGAAAAGCCCUUCAUUUUCAAAAACUUCAAAACAAAAAAGGAGGCACACGUGUGUGGCAACAGAAUGAAGGAGGCAGGCAAGUGUGCACAGCGACAAAACAAGGGAGAGAGAUGCAUGCGCGUGGUGACAGGACAAGGGAAACAGCAGAAUGUGUGUGGUGACAAAACAAUGGAGGCCUUGAAAUUAAAACUAUGGGGGUGUCAAACUAAACUCUGCUCUCUCUCCACCAUGACUCUGUAUUGACUCCUCGCAGAAAUUGGUUUCUGUGUACCACAAUUUUUUGCCCUGCUGCUUUGUCUUGGAUUAUGAGGUUGUCUGGAAGGGACCCCAGUCUAAUAGUCAAACCAAUGUACCACACUGGCAUAUGUUUAAGUCUUCCCUUAAUUUAAUUUCUUUUAAUUUAAUUCUUUCUUUUAAUUGAUUGCAUAUAUUUAAUUCCUUCUUUCUUUCCUUCACUUAAACAUUUAGCCUACCCUUCAGACCAGAAUCUAUACCUUUGUACAUAACAAUAAAAUGAUAUUAAGCAAUAUUGAACUAUUAUAAUAUUUCUGUUGUUAUUAUUAUUGUUGCUGUUGUUAAUAUUUUACCCGCUUCUCCUCAUGACUUGAGGCAAGGUAUAACAGUUAAAACGUAUCAUCUUAAAAUACAUACCUAAAAUACAUACAUUAAAACACACUGCGUAAGUUGCAAAUUAAUGUUCAAGCUGUAUAUGGCGUAUGUGAACACAGUUUUAUAUUGUCCAUCUAUGGCCAAAGGUAUGGAUAAAAUGUAUAUUUUAACUUGCUAAUGGGGUGCAUUUAAUAUAAGUGUCAAAUGUAUCACAGCAGCCUAGGGGCCACCACAGAAAGUAUCCUUUCAUGUGCCAUCAAUUCC
rnacentral:lncRNA from 11 species